UUUAACUGGUUCUGCAGCCUUUUUCUCCCCACAGCCUCUGCUUGUUCCCUUCUUCUCUUUCUGUCUUCCCUCCAGGAGAGCUCCUCAGGCAUCUCCUGCCUGUAAUUCCUGGGAAAUGCCACCUGCCACCCAUCCUUGGAAGCGUCGCCCAUUCUCAGGAUCUCAUGCGUCACCAUUCAUCACAGUCACAGCGCUUGCAGACAUCUGGAUAAAAGGAAAAGCCCAUUUUUUUAAAACUUACACGUUAAAUUUUCCUCUAAUUACCAUUUUAUUCUUUUAAAUUUCAUUAUGUUUAAUUACAUUUAGUAUGGAUUAAGGCACAGCCAGCCUGGAUUAAGGCAUCACCAGCCUGGCAUCAGACUCUCCGGACAAUGCCAGCCCAGAGGGGGCUGACCUGGAGGACAUUCCCCCGGAGGACAUGGAGUGGGAGCCUCCAGGUCUUGACCUGAGUCCCACUCCGUGGUGUCAGCCCCGUGGCCAAAGUUUCCCCAGCCGAGGAGGCUAUCGCCGCGACAACGGCAGGGUCAACAGAAAUCCAGUCGUGGGCUCAGCUCCGGGAGGAAAAAACGAGGGUCCCUGGUUUGGUCCAGUUCCUGUCCUGCCUGCCCCUCGACACCCUCCGACUCUGCCAACCCCUCGCCGUCUACCGAUGCUGUUCUUCCCUCGGCUGCCGCAGACGAGUAGAGCUUCUACAGACCCAGACAGGAUUCCAAAGGCCCCCCUGGCCGUGACCCUUCUGCGGCACCCCGGAGCCCAUCAGAGGCCCUGAACUGUUCACUUUACCUCCCAUGCUACCUAGUGUCUUGCCCCUCCUAAUACCUCAGUCUUUGGUCUGUAGUCUUGCUUCCCCGUGGCUCUCCCUGGUUUCACCUCUUAGCCUGAUUUCACUGUUCCAGCCCCCACUCCAGUCACUCUUGCUUCCCGCUUUAGGUUCCCCUCUCCUGGCCAUAUUAUUGUUGCACUGGUUCCGUUGCUUGCCUGUCUUGUCUGGUUGUGUCCUGCCUUGUCUGUCCCUGUGUCGUCUUUGGUCCUUUUGAUGCCCAAUCCCUCCCUUUUGUCUCCUUCUACUGUGUCCUUUGUUCCCACUUACCCACUGACACCCACUGUCUGUCUUUUGGUCCAUAGUCAGCAUCCCUGUUGGAUUACCUGGCCUGUCAUGAUUUGUGUCCUGGGGGUUAGUCUCCCCUGUUGUCCUUGGUUUUGCCCUGGUCUGUGUGUCCCCUCAAUGAUGCCCUUGUACCCGGAGGGCACAGGAUUGGGAGGGGGGCGUUUACUGUCAUAUCUUGCCCAUUUAAUCAACCUUACCCUCCAGUUCUCCUCCCUGAUGAGCCACGCUUGGUGUCUAUUAGUCUCAUCCCAUGUUCCUCCCCUUCUGUCAGUCACUAUCAGCUUCCUUGUGUUUUCCCAUUCCUUAGUCUGGUAAAGUGCCCAGUCCUAUCUUCUCCAGUUGUGUCCUUGUCUGUUUGCGUCUCUGUGCCCAAACCUGCCUGUCAAUAAAACCCCACGAAGGGGAUUCUGCCCUA